rnacentral:lncRNA from 1 species
AGCAAGGCAGUAUGUAGACAAGGGUGAGCUAGUGGUAUGGAAAAGAUAAUGCUAUGUGUUCAACAAAUGAUUCUAUUUUCCCUUUGGCCACCAGGGAAUUCUACACUUCCUAGCUCUCUUUGUAUCUAGAUGAGAGAACGUGACUAGUUAUGGCCAAUAAAAUGUGGGAGGAGCUCCUGUCUGCCAAUUCCUAGGCUGGCUCCUCAAAUGACCAGUGCAGUUCUCACACUGUCACUUCUUGCUCUACUGCCUGCAGGAAGUCCAACAGAGGCUUCGGAGGUUGUCUAGGGGAUAGGGGAUGCCAGGUGGAAAGAUCCUACCUCCUCAUGGGAGGAACGCAACCAACAGAGCCACCUGGCCAAGAACAUUGGUGCUGAACCUUUAAAGAGGAAGUAAUCUCGACAACGUGAUAAUCCACUGAGACGUGGGGCUGUUUGUUACAGCUGUCAGCCUAUCCUGACCAAUACAAUGAUAUAGACAAGUGGUCAGAAAAAGAAGAAAAUCCUUUGUGUUUAGGAAUGAUGAGAGAAAGUUUUUUCAGGAGUUAGUAUCUGAGCCCAUUAGUUAAGCAGAAAUGAGGGAGGAGGAUGGAUGGUGAGAAUAAUUACUGGGUUCAGAUUUUAUUGUGGUAUUUUUCCCAACUUCUCCAGACAAAAUGCUUAAUGGGUAAAGCACUUUCCAUUUAACUUCACAGAUGUUUUCAAGCCAAGAAACCCUUCUUUUCAAAUGAAAUCUCAUAUAAAAUCCUGAUAUUUCAGCAGAUACUGGUGGAGUGACUCUUGUUGAAGUAAGGCCAGGGUUCUGGUAGUUCCACCUUCCUGGAUACUUUCUUGAACACUUUUUUGGAAUCUUUCAUACCAGCCACAGCCGCUGAGUCACUCCUGUGGAACCUUCAAAGGCUGAGGGACAGAGUUUGAAUACCACCGGAUCAGCCCACACUCAGACAUAAUAGGCUCACGCUAACUCUUCAUGGAGGAUCGCAGCAUGCAAUGGAUUAUAAAAGGCACAGUGGCAAACUCUGGGGUUGAGCAGGAAGCCGAUGCAAUAACCCAGAAGAGACCACCCUAAAACGAUCCCAUCAGCAGAAGGAAUCUAUAAGGAUUACCCGGUCUUUGUCUUUCCCUACUAUGGGGCCAUUUGCUUUUUAGAGCUAAAAUUCUGCAUGCUUCUUUUCUACAAGAAUGAUCAUUUCAAAGCCAAGUUGAAGUCCUCUCAAAAAUAGCUGGUCUGGAAAUGAUAUGUGUAAAUACAGCAGAGAGAGGAACGGUUUGACUUGUAUGCUCGCUUCUUGUUCUUGAUUCUGAAGUUUAUGAAAACUUGACUGGUAGGGUCUCGUGCAUGUGUAUAGGUCAUUUUAGUUAACCAAGUGGAUUUUCAUCAACUGGUGAAAUUGAUCCUGUGAGGUAGGUAAAUCAGAGGAGGAAACCAAGGUAAAGACAGUAAAUGCUGCAGGUUGAGCUUGAACCCAAGGCUCUCUGCAUUUAUUCAACUCAGUGGUUCUGCUUCCACAAAAAACGACUGUUUUAUUGUCCCUCACUCUCCUCCACAAUGAUGUUUCUUUUGCUUGGCUCACUUUUCUGGGACCCAAUGAUCUGGAAGUAUUCCUAUUCCAGUGGAACACAAUAAUACAUCAUGGAUGAUCUCAAAAUGACACUGAAUCA